GGAUGCAAUCGGCUAGUCAUUAAUUCGGACAACAUGGAGGUGAUUGAUACCAUGAAGGAAGGAGGAUGGUUGGCGGGGACGGCGGUGGCGGUUUUUUAUGAUUGUUUUUAUUUUGGCAAUGAUUUUACUAUUUCUAGAUUUGAGCAUUGUAAUAGAGAAGCAAAUAAAGUUGCUCAAGAACUUGCUAGAUUGGCAAAAUUUUCUUUGAUUUCUGAUUGGUUCAAGGAGCCAUUAAAUGAAAUUGUCCGAUCCUCAUAAAACGAUGCAAUGGUCAUAUCAAACGAAUAUAAUUCAGAAUAA
rnacentral:rRNA from 1 species